rnacentral:tRNA from 1 species
GCUGAAAUAGCUCACUUGGGAGAGUGCUAGACUGAAGAUCUGAAGGUCCCAUUCCAAUACUGGGUUUUAGCA